rnacentral:rRNA from 1 species
ACGUAGGGUGCAGGCGUUAAUCGGAAUUACUGGGCGUAAAGCGUGCGUAGGCGGUUUGUUAAGACAGGUGUGAAAUCCCCGGGCUUAACCUGGGAACUGCAUUUGUGACUGCAAGGCUGGAGUGCGGCAGAGGGGGAUGGAAUUCCGCGUGUAGCAGUGAAAUGCGUAGAUAUGCGGAGGAACACCGAUGGCGAAGGCAACCCCCUGGGCCUGCACUGACGCUCAUGCACGAAAGCGUGGGGAGCAAACAGGA